GUUUUUUUCUGUGUAACAUAGCAACUAUAGUAAACAAACCAGCGACUAAUAAGUUUCUCUCUCUUCACGCCUUGCAGCUCGUUGAAAGUAAUAAACCCACAAAUGGCCACAGUUAAUCAAGGUGGUGAUGGACCAUGGAAUACUACAGUAGAAAGGAUAGUCAUAAGGACACACAUGGAAAUGGGAGAUGCUCCUCCUAGAAUCAAUGCAACUGAUGUUACUGCCAACAGGCUCAAUAAUGUAAUCAGAUUUCAGCUCAAUCCAGACGUAUAUGAUGUUAUAGCCAACAGGCAGAAUCCCAACAUCACACCCAGAUGCAUUUUUAUAUUGUAAGGAACAGAAACACAGAGUUCUGCAGUUACAGAGAAAUAAUCAGUUACAGAGUGAUGCCAUGUGGCCUCAAUGUGGAUUCUUUCAUCCCGUUGUACUUCACCUUCAUGGUACCGUAAACAUCCUGGUACUUCUCCCACUCCUAAAUCACAGCCAUGGAACAGAAGAGCUUUAAACUUUACAUCCAUUUAAUACAAAAUAAUCUCAGCAUCUACAACUACAAAUUAAAUUUGAGAUAGAAUAAAAGUCCUUACGGCAUGUGGAGGAACUCAUCAUGUACUGCUUAAUGAUUAAUAAAUUUCCCUCUUACUGCCAUUAACCUGUUGCACUUCCUGUUAGUCUGAAGAAGUUCUGCCUCUUUCAGCUCAGCUGAGGCCUACACUUAGUCCAUGUCUGAUACCAGUUUGUAGAUCUCACCGGUACUCUGGACACCACGUCCUUCCUCUUCUUCUCCUCUGCCUGGCUCAAAGAAUUCUGAAAGUGCACCGACCAAAUGCUGUCAGAAUUUUUGUCUUUUACACACACAUUCACAUAUUCCUUAAGACUGAGCAAAAUCCAGAGAGACAAAAACAUACUAAAGAAGAAGAACAAAUACAUCAGUUCUGCACAGAGCCUGAGAAUUUGAUUAAAGUGUUAACUGAUCCAUUUAUUACACUUUUGUAAAGGUUUAUUUCUCAUAUUACAAAAUCAUUGAAUGCUACAAUGUUCUUAAAAGAUCUCAUGACAUCCUAACAUUCGAGGGAAACCUCUGUUGAGAACAUUGGAGGAGCAUUGCUAUAGUUUCUCAAACACAUUUAGCAAUUUAUUGAUUAUUUUAAAAGCAAAAGGAAACCUGCAAUAAAGAUUUACAAUCCUAUAAUAAUC